rnacentral:rRNA from 1 species
CCUACUGGAGGCAGCAGUGGGGGAUAUUGGACAAUGGGGGGAACCCUGAUCCAGCGACGCCGCGUGAGUGAAGAAGUAUCUCGGUAUGUAAAGCUCUAUCAGCAGGGAAGAAGAAAUGACGGUACCUGAGUAAGAAGCCCCGGCUAACUACGUGCCAGCAGCCGCGGUAAUACGUAGGGGGCAAGCGUUAUCCGGAAUUACUGGGUGUAAAGGGAGCGUAGACGGUGAUGUAAGUCUGGAGUGAAAGGCGGGGGCCCAACCCCCGGACUGCUCUGGAAACUAUGUGACUGGAGUGCAGGAGAGGUGAGCGGAAUUCCUAGUGUAGCGGUGAAAUGCGUAGAGAUUAGGAGGAACACCAGUGGCGAAGGCGGCUUACUGGACUGUAACUGACGUUGAGGCUCGAAAGCGUGGGGAGCAAACAGGAUUAGAUACCCGGGUAGUC